rnacentral:rRNA from 1 species
CACGUAGGGUGCGAGCGUUGUCCGGAAUUAUUGGGCGUAAAGAGCUCGUAGGCGGUGUGUCGCGUCGGCCGUGAAAACCUGCAGCUUAACUGUGGGCUUGCGGUCGAUACGGGCAUCACUGGAGUUCGGCAGGGGAGACUGGAAUUCCGUGGUGAUAGCGGUGAAAUGCGCAGAUAUCAGGAGGAACACCGGUGGCGAAGGCGGGUCUCUGGGCCGUAACUGACGCUGGAGGAGCGAAAGCCGUGGGGAGCGAACAGG